rfam:Picea glauca, whole genome shotgun sequence.
AUAAUGGUGUCUUUAGACACCACCUUUUGUUUAAAAAAAAAAAUG